rnacentral:rRNA from 1 species
GAGUUUGUUCCUGCCUCAGGACGAACGCUGGCGGCGUGCUUAACACAUGCAAGUMGAACGGAAAGACCGGGUGCUUGCACCGGGUACUCGAGUGGCGAACGGGUGAGUAACACGUGGGUGAUCUGCCCUGCACUUCGGGAUAASCCUGGGAAACUGGGUCUAAUACCGGAUAGGACCAUUGGUUGGUAUUGGUGGUGGAAAGUUUUUCGGUGCAGGAUGAGCUCGCGGCCUAUCAGCUUGUUGGUGGGGUAAUGGCCUACCAAGGCGGCGACGGGUAGCCGGCCUGAGAGGGUGGACGGCCACAUUGGGACUGAGACACGGCCCAGACUCCUACGGGAGGCAGCAGUGGGGAAUAUUGCACAAUGGGCGCAAGCCUGAUGCAGCGACGCCGCGUGGGGGAUGACGGCCUUCGGGUUGUAAACUCCUUCAACCAGAGGAAGUUAGUGACGGUAGUGAGAGAGCCCGCUGAGCACUAUAAA